GAUGAACGCUGGCGGCGUGCCUAAUACAUGCAAGUCGAGCGAACAGACGAGGAGCUUGCUCCUCUGACGUUAGCGGCGGACGGGUGAGUAACACGUGGAUAACCUACCUAUAAGACUGGGAUAACUUCGGGAAACCGGAGCUAAUACCGGAUAAUAUAUUGAACCGCAUGGUUCAAUAGUGAAAGACGGUUUUGCUGUCACUUAUAGAUGGAUCCGCGCCGCAUUAGCUAGUUGGUAAGGUAACGGCUUACCAAGGCAACGAUGCGUAGCCGACCUGAGAGGGUGAUCGGCCACACUGGAACUGAGACACGGGCCAGACUCCUACGGGAGGCAGCAGUAGGGAAUCUUCCGCAAUGGGCGAAAGCCUGACGGAGCAACGCCGCGUGAGUGAUGAAGGUCUUCGGAUCGUAAAACUCUGUUAUUAGGGAAGAACAAAUGUGUAAGUAACUAUGCACGUCUGGACGGUACCUAAUCAGAAAACCACGGCUAACUACGU
rnacentral:rRNA from 1 species